rnacentral:rRNA from 1 species
AGUGAACGCUGGCGGCAGGCCUAAUACAUGCAAGUCGAACGGCAGCACAGCAGAGCUUGCUCUGUGGGUGGCGAGUGGCGGACGGGUGAGGAAUACAUGGGAAUCUGCCCAGUCGUGGGGGAUAACGUAGGGAAACUUACGCUAAUACCGCAUGCGCCCUUCGGGGGAAAGCCGGGGACCUUCGGGCCUGGCGCGAUUGGAUGAGCCCAUGUCGGAUUAGCUAGUUGGCGGGGUAACGGCCCACCAAGGCGACGAUCCGUAGCUGGUCUGAGAGGAUGAUCAGCCACACUGGAACUGAGACACGGUCCAGACUCCUACGGGAGGCAGCAGUAGGGAAUAUUGGACAAUGGGCGCAAGCCUGAUCCAGCCAUGCCGCGUGAGUGAAGAAGGCCUUCGGGUUGUAAAGCUCUUUUGUCCGGAAAGAAAAGCAUCCAGUUAAUACCUGGGUGUCCUGACGGUACCUUAUGAAUAAGCACCGGCUAACUCCGUGCCAGCCGCCGCUGUAAAAC